rnacentral:rRNA from 1 species
GAUGAACGCUGGCGGCGUGCCUAAUACAUGCAAGUCGAGCGAACAGACGAGGAGCUUGCUCCUCUGGCGUUAGCGGCGGACGGGUGAGUAACACGUGGAUAACCUACCUAUAAGACUGGGAUAACUUCGGGAAACCGGAGCUAAUACCGGAUAAUAUAUUGAACCGCAUGGUUCAAUAGUGAAAGACGGUUUUGCUGUCACUUAUAGAUGGAUCCGCGCCGCAUUAGCUAGUUGGUAAGGUAACGGCUUACCAAGGCAACGAUGCGUAGCCGACCUGAGAGGGUGAUCGGCCACACUGGAACUGAGACACGGUCCAGACUCCUACGGGAGGCAGCAGUAGGGAAUCUUCCGCAAUGGGCGAAAGCCUGACGGAGCAACGCCGCGUGAGUGAUGAAGGUCUUCGGAUCGUAAAACUCUGUUAUUAGGGAAGAACAAAUGUGUAAGUAACUAUGCACGUCUUGACGGUACCUAAUCAGAAAGCCACGGCUAACUACGUU